rnacentral:rRNA from 1 species
UACGAGUGCCUCAAGCGUUAUCCGGAAUUAUUGGGCGUAAAGGAUGUGUAGGUGGUCGUGUUAGUCUCUUGUUAAAUUCUUCGGCUUAACCGGGGACCUGCAAGGGAAACGGCACGACUAGAGGAUGCGAGGGGUCUGCGGAACUCAUAGUGUAGCGGUGAAAUGCGUUGAUAUUAUGGGGAGCACCAAAAGCGAAGGCAGCAGACUGGAGCACUCCUGACACUGAAACAUGAAAGCGUGGGUAGCGAAUGGG